rnacentral:misc_RNA from 1 species
UAUAGAGGGUGUAAGUGUUGUUUGGAAUUAUUGGGUGUAAAGUGUGUGUAGGUGGUAUGGUAAGUUGGGUGUGAAAGCCCUCAGCUCAACUGAGGAAGUGCGCCCGAAACUGCUGUGCUUGAGUGCUGGAGAGGGUCGCGGAAUUCCCCAAGUAGAGGUGAAAUUCGUAGAUAUGGGGAGGAACACCGGUGGCGAAGGCGGCGACCUGGACAGUAACUGACGCUGAGACGCGAAAGCGUGGGGAGCAAACAGG